rnacentral:rRNA from 1 species
GACGAACGCUGGCGGCGUGCUUAACACAUGCAAGUCGAACGGAAAGGCCCUGCUUGCAGGGUCCUCGAGUGGCGAACGGGUGAGUAACACGUGGGUGAUCUGCCCUGCACUUCGGGAUAAGCCUGGGAAACUGGGUCUAAUACCGGAUAGGAGCCAUUUUUAGUGUGAUGGUUGGAAAGUUUUUUCGGUGUAGGAUGAGCUCGCGGCCUAUCAGCUUGUUGGUGGGGUAAUGGCCUACCAAGGCGGCGACGGGUAGCCGGCCUGAGAGGGUGGACGGCCACAGUGGGACUGAGAUACGGCCCAGACUCCUACGGGAGGCAGCAGUGGGGAAUAUUGCACAAUGGGCGCAAGCCUGAUGCAGCGACGCCGCGUGGGGGAUGACGGCCUUCGGGUUGUAAACUCCUUUCGCUAGGGACGAAGCUUUUUGUGACGGUACCUAGAUAAGAAGCACCGGCUAACUACGUG